ACAAGAACAACAAUGACUUUCAGCAUCAUCUUCAUCUGGACACUCACAGUGUUUGCUCAAGAGUGUAGAGGACAGUACACUGUUACUCAGAGUCCAUCAAUAACAGCAUUUCAACCAGGACAAAGUGUUCAGAUAAACUGUAAAGUCAGCAGUGCGGUGUAUAGCUUACACUGGUACUUACAGAAACCUGGAGAAGCUCCUAAACUCCUCAUAUAUAACACCAAUAGCCUCUACACUGGAGUAUCAUCUAGAUUCAGUGGCAGUGGAUCAAACACAGAUUUCACUCUGAGCAUCAGUGGAGUUCAGACUGAAGAUUCAGGAGAUUAUUACUGUCAGAGUGCACACUAUCCUAAUAGUAAAUGGGUGUUGACACAGUGA